rnacentral:rRNA from 1 species
UGGGCGUAAAGAGCUCGUAGGCGGUUUGUCACGUCUGCUGUGAAAACCCGAGGCUCAACCUCGGGCUUGCAGUGGGUACGGGCAGACUAGAGUGCGGUAGGGGAGAUUGGAAUUCCUGGUGUAGCGGUGGAAUGCGCAGAUAUCAGGAGGAACACCGAUGGCGAAGGCAGAUCUCUGGGCCGUAACUGACGCUGAGGAGCGAAAGCAUGGGGAGCAAACAGGCUUAGAUACCCUGGUAGUCCAUGCCGUAAACGUUGGGAACUAGAUGUGGGGACCAUUCCACGGUCUCCGUGUCGUAGCUAACGCAUUAAGUUCCCCGCCUGGGGAGUACGGCCGCAAGGCUAAAACUUAAAUGAAUUGACGGA